CCUGAGCUGCAAAAGCAACUAAGAGCCUGGUCCAGAGCCCAUUGAAGUCAGUGGGAGAUGUUCUAAUGACUCCAGAGGGCUUUGGAUCAGGCCCUAAGUUAAUCCACUGGAAUCUCUG
rnacentral:precursor_RNA from 15 species